rnacentral:rRNA from 1 species
AUUGAACGCUAGCGGGAUGCCUUACACAUGCAAGUCGAACGGAGUGGCAAACGGGUGAGUAAUGUAUCGGAACGUGCCCAGUAGCGGGGGAUAACUACGCGAAAGCGUAGCUAAUACCGCAUACUAUCGGAGCGGCCGACACCGGAGUAGCUAGUUGGUGGGGUAAGGGCUCACCAAGGCGACGAUCCGUAGCUGGUUUGAGUGGACGACCAGCCACACUGGGACUGAGACACGGCCCAGAAUCCAACGGGAGGCAGCAGUGGGGAAUUUUGGACAAUGGGGGAAACCCUGAUCCAGCCAUCCCGCGUGUGGGAUGAAGGCCUUCGGGUUGUAAAGCACUUUUGGCAGGAAAGCGGUAUCUGCAGAAUAAGCACCGGCUAACUCCGUGCCAGCAGCCGCGGUAAUUC